GAUAAACGCUGGCGGCGUGCCUAAUACAUGCAAGUCGAGCGAACGGACGAGAAGCUUGCUUCUCUGAUGUUAGCGGCGGACGGGUGAGUAACACGUGGAUAACCUACCUAUAAGACUGGGAUAACUUCGGGAAACCGGAGCUAAUACCGGAUAAUAUUUUGAACCGCAUGGUUCAAAAGUGAAAGACGGUCUUGCUGUCACUUAUAGAUGGAUCCGCGCUGCAUUAGCUAGUUGGUAAGGUAACGGCUUACCAAGGCAACGAUGCAUAGCCGACCUGAGAGGGUGAUCGGCCACACUGGAACUGAGACACGGUCCAGACUCCUACGGGAGGCAGCAGUAGGGAAUCUUCCGCAAUGGGCGAAAGCCUGACGGAGCAACGCCGCGUGAGUGAUGAAGGUCUUCGGAUCGUAAAACUCUGUUAUUAGGGAAGAACAUAUGUGUAAGUAACUGUGCACAUCUUGACGGUACCUAAUCAGAAAGCCACGGCUAACUACGUGCCAGCAGCCGCGGUAAUACGUAGGUGGCAAGCGUUAUCCGGAAUUAUCGGGCGUAAAGCGCGCGUAGGCGGUUUUUUAAGUCUGAUGUGAAAGCCCACGGCUCAACCGUGGAGGGUCAUUGGAAACUGGAAAACUUGAGUGCAGAAGAGGAAAGUGGAAUUCCAUGUGUAGCGGUGAAAUGCGCAGAGAUAUGGAGGAACACCAGUGGCGAAGGCGACUUUCUGGUCUGUAACUGACGCUGAUGUGCGAAAGCGUGGGGAUCAAACAGGAUUAGAUACCCUGGUAGUCCACGCCGUAAACGAUGAGUGCUAAGUGUUAGGGGGUUUCCGCCCCUUAGUGCUGCAGCUAACGCAUUAAGCACUCCGCCUGGGGAGUACGACCGCAAGGUUGAAACUCAAAGGAAUUGACGGGGACCCGCACAAGCGGUGGAGCAUGUGGUUUAAUUCGAAGCAACGCGAAGAACCUUACCAAAUCUUGACAUCCUUUGACAACUCUAGAGAUAGAGCCUCCCCCUUCGGGGGACAAAGUGACAGGUGGUGCAUGGUUGUCGUCAGCUCGUGUCGUGAGAUGUUGGGUUAAGUCCCGCAACGAGCGCAACCCUUAAGCUUAGUUGCCAUCAUUAAGUUGGGCACUCUAAGUUGACUGCCGGUGACAAACCGGAGGAAGGUGGGGAUGACGUCAAAUCAUCAUGCCCCUUAUGAUUUGGGCUACACACGUGCUACAAUGGACAAUACAAAGGGCAGCGAAACCGCGAGGUCAAGCAAAUCCCAUAAAGUUGUUCUCAGUUCGGAUUGUAGUCUGCAACUCGACUACAUGAAGCUGGAAUCGCUAGUAAUCGUAGAUCAGCAUGCUACGGUGAAUACGUUCCCGGGUCU
rnacentral:rRNA from 1 species